ACGGAAGGCAGCAGUGGGGAAUAUUGCACAAUGGGGGAAACCUUGAUGCAGCGACGCCGCGUGAGUGAAGAAGUAUUUCGGUAUGUAAAGCUCUAUCAGCAGGGAAGAAAAUGACGGUACCUGACUAAGAAGCCCCGGCUAACUACGUGCCAGCAGCCGCGGUAAUACGUAGGGGGCAAGCGUUAUCCGGAUUUACUGGGUGUAAAGGGAGCGUAGACGGCGAUGCAAGUCUGAUGUGAAAGCCCGGGGCUCAACCCCGGCACUGCAUUGGAAACUGUGUUGCUAGAGUGCAGGAGAGGUAAGUGGAAUUCCUAGUGUAGCGGUGAAAUGCGUAGAUAUUAGGAGGAACACCAGUGGCGAAGGCGGCUUACUGGACUGUAACUGACGUUGAGGCUCGAAAGCGUGGGGAGCAAACAGGAUUAGAUACCCUGGUA
rnacentral:rRNA from 1 species